CUUUCCCUCUUCCUUCCUCUCUGAAGUCAAUAAAAAUAUAUGGAAACAAAAACACAGCACAAAAACAUGACACUAAAGUACGACCUCUCUGCUGCCUUAGAGAAAGCUAAGUCCCCCAGGUGACCCGUCAGCCCUGGCAGGGGUGUUCCAUGUCGGGGCCCAGCGUUAGGGCGGCCCUGACAAUUCCAGGUGGUGAAAAAAAUGAACCUCCAAACAUCCAAGUUCAAAGUUUCUCUCUGCUUUUCCGCUUACGGGCAGCCGCAGAAGCCCAGUUCCGUCCAGUGUGACCUCCACCUGUAGGGACAAGCCGCACAGUGCCCGCCGCAGACGAGGUAUUUUAGCUCACAUGUAUGUUAUGAAAAUCACAGCAUCAUGGCAUGUGCGGCUCUAAGGUUUAUCCAUGAUCGCUGCACCAGGACACGCCCCUGGCCACACAGAAAGCCUGCAGCUCCCUCCCCUCUGAGAGAAAGAAAUCAGCGUCACGGGAUCAUCCCGACCUCAGCUGCCCCUGCCUGCCAGGCCCCGCGGCUCAUGGUUCACACGUGUUCACUCCGACCAGCGCUCACACCCGCUGUGAGGCAGCUGCCAUUGUUCUCACUCCACGAAGGAGGACCUGAAGCUCAGAGCACGAUCGCACGUCUGAGAGCGUCACGCGGGCGGAAUCCGCCAGAGGAAGACGGGCGUCCCGCGGUCUCCCUCCCAUGUGGGACCUCGUGAACCAGACGAACUGGCCCAGAGACGCAGAGGCACGAGCAGACGGCUGAGCCUCAGA